CCUCCGCCACUUGUUCCUAUUUCUCCGCAGCUAGCAUUGCAUUUACCCUAGCCUGCAUCGUACAGUCCUUUUUCAAGUGCGGUCCACCACAAGUAAAACAACCUUUGAACUUGUUGUUCCUUUCCUUGCCAUUGUGAAUUUCCUGUCUCACAGUCUUGACAAGUCCCUCAUUUUCAGAAGCUUGGCCCUUCCCGUUCUUCUUCCAUUCCCUUGCUUUGUCCUUCCUUCUGUCGGACUUUGAAUGCGAAGUUUCAGUAGGUUCAUCGCCUAUAUUCUGGUCCGCCAACGCAUCUGCCGCUGCAAUGGC
rnacentral:lncRNA from 1 species